GGGUUGUGAGGUUAAGCGACUAAGCGUACACGGUGGAUGCCCUGGCAGUCAGAGGCGAUGAAGGACGUGCUAAUCUGCGAUAAGCGUCGGUAAGGUGAUAUGAACCGUUAUAACCGGCGAUUUCCGAAUGGGGAAACCCAGUGUGAUUCGUCACACUAUCAUUAACUGAAUCCAUAGGUUAAUGAGGCGAACCGGGGGAACUGAAACAUCUAAGUACCCCGAGGAAAAGAAAUCAACCGAGAUUCCCCCAGUAGCGGCGAGCGAACGGGGAGCAGCCCAGAGCCUGAAUCAGUGUGUGUGUUAGUGGAAGCGUCUGGAAAGGCGCGCGAUACAGGGUGACAGCCCCGUACACAAAAAUGCACAUGCUGUGAGCUCGAUGAGUAGGGCGGGACACGUGGUAUCCUGUCUGAAUAUGGGGGGACCAUCCUCCAAGGCUAAAUACUCCUGACUGACCGAUAGUGAACCAGUACCGUGAGGGAAAGGCGAAAAGAACCCCGGCGAGGGGAGUGAAAAAGAACCUGAAACCGUGUACGUACAAGCAGUGGGAGCCUCUUUAUGGGGUGACUGCGUACCUUUUGUAUAAUGGGUCAGCGACUUAUAUUCUGUAGCAAGGUUAACCGAAUAGGGGAGCCGAAGGGAAACCGAGUCUUAACUGGGCGUUAAGUUGCAGGGUAUAGACCCGAAACCCGGUGAUCUAGCCAUGGGCAGGUUGAAGGUUGGGUAACACUAACUGGAGGACCGAACCGACUAAUGUUGAAAAAUUAGCGGAUGACUUGUGGCUGGGGGUGAAAGGCCAAUCAAACCGGGAGAUAGCUGGUUCUCCCCGAAAGCUAUUUAGGUAGCGCCUCGUGAAUUCAUCUCCGGGGGUAGAGCACUGUUUCGGCAAGGGGGUCAUCCCGACUUACCAACCCGAUGCAAACUGCGAAUACCGGAGAAUGUUAUCACGGGAGACACACGGCGGGUGCUAACGUCCGUCGUGAAGAGGGAAACAACCCAGACCGCCAGCUAAGGUCCCAAAGUCAUGGUUAAGUGGGAAACGAUGUGGGAAGGCCCAGACAGCCAGGAUGUUGGCUUAGAAGCAGCCAUCAUUUAAAGAAAGCGUAAUAGCUCACUGGUCGAGUCGGCCUGCGCGGAAGAUGUAACGGGGCUAAACCAUGCACCGAAGCUGCGGCAGCGACGCUUAUGCGUUGUUGGGUAGGGGAGCGUUCUGUAAGCCUGCGAAGGUGUACUGUGAGGUAUGCUGGAGGUAUCAGAAGUGCGAAUGCUGACAUAAGUAACGAUAAAGCGGGUGAAAAGCCCGCUCGCCGGAAGACCAAGGGUUCCUGUCCAACGUUAAUCGGGGCAGGGUGAGUCGACCCCUAAGGCGAGGCCGAAAGGCGUAGUCGAUGGGAAACAGGUUAAUAUUCCUGUACUUGGUGUUACUGCGAAGGGGGGACGGAGAAGGCUAUGUUGGCCGGGCGACGGUUGUCCCGGUUUAAGCGUGUAGGCUGGUUUUCCAGGCAAAUCCGGAAAAUCAAGGCUGAGGCGUGAUGACGAGGCACUACGGUGCUGAAGCAACAAAUGCCCUGCUUCCAGGAAAAGCCUCUAAGCAUCAGGUAACAUCAAAUCGUACCCCAAACCGACACAGGUGGUCAGGUAGAGAAUACCAAGGCGCUUGAGAGAACUCGGGUGAAGGAACUAGGCAAAAUGGUGCCGUAACUUCGGGAGAAGGCACGCUGAUACGUAGGUGAAGUCCCUUGCGGAUGGAGCUGAAAUCAGUCGAAGAUACCAGCUGGCUGCAACUGUUUAUUAAAAACACAGCACUGUGCAAACACGAAAGUGGACGUAUACGGUGUGACGCCUGCCCGGUGCCGGAAGGUUAAUUGAUGGGGUUAGCGGUAACGCGAAGCUCUUGAUCGAAGCCCCGGUAAACGGCGGCCGUAACUAUAACGGUCCUAAGGUAGCGAAAUUCCUUGUCGGGUAAGUUCCGACCUGCACGAAUGGCGUAAUGAUGGCCAGGCUGUCUCCACCCGAGACUCAGUGAAAUUGAACUCGCUGUGAAGAUGCAGUGUACCCGCGGCAAGACGGAAAGACCCCGUGAACCUUUACUAUAGCUUGACACUGAACAUUGAGCCUUGAUGUGUAGGAUAGGUGGGAGGCUUUGAAGUGUGGACGCCAGUCUGCAUGGAGCCGACCUUGAAAUACCACCCUUUAAUGUUUGAUGUUCUAACGUUGGCCCCUAAUCGGGGUUGCGGACAGUGUCUGGUGGGUAGUUUGACUGGGGCGGUCUCCUCCUAAAGAGUAACGGAGGAGCACGAAGGUUGGCUAAUCCUGGUCGGACAUCAGGAGGUUAGUGCAAUGGCAUAAGCCAGCUUGACUGCGAGCGUGACGGCGCGAGCAGGUGCGAAAGCAGGUCAUAGUGAUCCGGUGGUUCUGAAUGGAAGGGCCAUCGCUCAACGGAUAAAAGGUACUCCGGGGAUAACAGGCUGAUACCGCCCAAGAGUUCAUAUCGACGGCGGUGUUUGGCACCUCGAUGUCGGCUCAUCACAUCCUGGGGCUGAAGUAGGUCCCAAGGGUAUGGCUGUUCGCCAUUUAAAGUGGUACGCGAGCUGGGUUUAGAACGUCGUGAGACAGUUCGGUCCCUAUCUGCCGUGGGCGCUGGAGAACUGAGGGGGGCUGCUCCUAGUACGAGAGGACCGGAGUGGACGCAUCACUGGUGUUCGGGUUGUCAUGCCAAUGGCACUGCCCGGUAGCUAAAUGCGGAAGAGAUAAGUGCUGAAAGCAUCUAAGCACGAAACUUGCCCCGAGAUGAGUUCUCCCUGACUCCCUGAGAGUCCUGAAGGAACGUUGAAGACGACGACGUUGAUAGGCCGGGUGUGUAAGCGCAGCGAUGCGUUGAGCUAACCGGUACUAAUGAACCGUGAGGCUUAACCUUACAACGCCGAAG
rnacentral:rRNA from 1 species